AAUCAGCGCCCGGAGAGGUGCGAGAGAACGCAUCCAGCGAGACGCCCGGCGGGGCGAUUCACUGAGUCUUGUCAGCUCCUCCCCAAAAGGUGGAGUUUCUCAGGAGAUUCUCAUUAAGAGGGAGAGAGAAGAGGAAGGUGCCCCUACUUGGAAGGGUUUCCUGAGCUUGCUGUAGAGGGAAACACCCCAAGCAGAGAGGAGACAGUGUGUAACUGUUAUCACAGCUGCUAUUUACAGUCUUUAUGAAACAUGAUGCAUCAGGAGCCUUGAAGAAUCAAGCACCCAGAGGAUAAACUACUUUGAUACCUGUUGUAUCUAUAUUGGCUGAUGUGCUGGACUCUGG